GGGUCGGUUCGGCCGGGUUUCACACAGGUGUUGCAUGGCUGUCGUCAGCUCGUGUCGUGAGAUGUUGGGUUAAGUCCCGCAACGAGCGCAACCCUCAUCCUUAGUURCCAUCAGGUAAUGCUGGGGACUUUAAGGAAACUGCCAGUGAUAAACUGGAGGAAGGUGGGGAUGAUGUCAAGUCAUCAUGGCCCUUAUGGAGUGGGCUACACACGUGCUACAAUGGUGKCUACAAUGGGCUGCAAAGUGCGCAAGGCUWAACUAAUCCCUUAAAAGMCAUCUCAGUUCGGAUUGUACUCUGCAACUCGAGUGCAUGAAGUUGGAAUCGCUAGUAAUCGUGGAUCAGCACGCCACGGUGAAUACGUUCUCGGGUCUUGUACACACUGCCCGUCACGCCAUGG
rnacentral:rRNA from 1 species